rnacentral:rRNA from 1 species
CCUACGGGAGGCAGCAGUGGGGAAUUUUGGACAAUGGGCGCAAGCCUGAUCCAGCAAUGCCGCGUGAGUGAAGAAGGCCUUCGGGUUGUAAAGCUCUUUUGUCAGGGAAGAAACGGCUGAGGUUAAUACCUUUGGCUAAUGACGGUACCUGAAGAAUAAGCACCGGCUAACUACGUGCCAGCAGCCGCGGUAAUACGUAGGGUGCAAGCGUUAAUCGGAAUUACUGGGCGUAAAGCGUGCGCAGGCGGUUUUGUAAGUCUGACGUGAAAUCCCCGGGCUCAACCUGGGAAUUGCGUUGGAGACUGCAAGGCUGGAGUCUGGCAGAGGGGGGUAGAAUUCCACGUGUAGCAGUGAAAUGCGUAGAGAUGUGGAGGAACACCGAUGGCGAAGGCAGCCCCCUGGGUCAAGACUGACGCUCAUGCACGAAAGCGUGGGGAGCAAACAGGAUUAGAUACCCUGGUAGUCCACGCCCUAAACGAUGUCUACUAGUUGUCGGGUCUUAAUUGACUUGGUAACGCAGCUAACGCGUGAAGUAGACCGCCUGGGGAGUACGGUCGCAAGAUUAAAACUCAAAUGAAAUUGACGG